AGAGAAUCGCUUGAACCCUGGAGGCGGAGAUUGCAGUGAGCCAAGAUCAUGCCACUGCACUCUAGCCUGGGUAACAGAA
rnacentral:snRNA from 1 species